AGGCUGGCGGGAGCGAGGAGAGCCGCAGGACGGAGGAGGAGGCGGCUGGCCGGCGGCACAGGAGAACAGCGGGCAGGGGAACUUCAGAAGAGGCUGCCAAAAAGGACUCGAGCCGCAGCAGUGUGAGGCAGUGGACAGCGGGGGCAGCAACCGCCAGCCCUUGGCAGCCAGCAGAGGGGAAGAGGAGCCCGCGGGAAAGAAAUGCAGGAGAGGUUGAGAAUAAAGGCUGCUCCAGGUGUGACAGCUACCUCGGUGAGGUGGAAGACGGAAUUGACAAGGCAAAUUUCAUGGACCUUAUAUCUGUGCUAGUCUAAUAAGCCUGACGAAACAGUUCCCCAUAUGGACUCAUCUGGGUACCUGUGGAUAUGUAAUCACUUCCUUGUCAGGUUGAAAUAGUUCUUCAGGUUGAAGAAGACAGAAGUGAAACAAAAUUUGAAUACUUCAUCUCUGUUGAUAGAUGACUUAAAUGAAAAUCACCCCUGAAGAGUAUGACUGUUUCCAUCUAUUGUAUUUUUCUUACUCUGAACAUAGCUUUAAAAAUCUCAAAUCAUAAUUUAAAAAAUCUCAAAUCUUUUUGUGUUUAAUAAAUGUAACUACAUUGUGAGCUUUGUUAUCAAGACAUCAUUAUUCCUUUUCAUUAUAUUUAAAAAA